rnacentral:lncRNA from 1 species
CAACCCAGAGGUAGAAAGCUGUUUGCCUGGAGUGAUAAUGUCACUUCAUCCCAGAUACAUCUCUUUCCUUUGGCAAGUUGCAGACUUAGGGAGCAGCCUAAAUAUGCCCCCUCUUAGAGAUGGAGCAAGAGUUCUUAUGAAACUUAUGCCGCCAGAUAGUACAACAAUAGAAAAAUUAAGAGCUAUUUGUUUAGAUCAUGCCAAACUUGGAGAAAGCAGCCUUAGUCCAUCUCUUGACUCACUUUUCUUUGGUCCUUCAGCCUCACAAGUGCUAUACCUAACAGAGGUAGUCUAUGCCCUGUUAAUGCCUGCUGGUGCACCCCUGGCUGAUGACUCCUCUGAUUUUCAGUUUCACUUCUUGAAAAGUGGUGGUUUGCCCCUUGUUCUGAGUAUGCUAACCAGAAAUAACUUCCUACCAAAUGCUGAUAUGGAAACUCGAAGGGGUGCCUACCUCAAUGCUCUUAAAAUAGCCAAACUGUUA